GGUAGGAUGGCCGAGUAGGCGGUGGAUUGUAGUCCCAUGCACAGGGGUUUAAGCCCCCUUCGUACCA
rnacentral:tRNA from 1 species